rnacentral:rRNA from 1 species
GAUGAACGCUGGCGGCGUGCCUAAUACAUGCAAGUCGAGCGCGACUGAUUACACCGUUCUUCGGAACACCGUAAUCAUCGAGCGGCGGACGGGUGAGUAACACGUGGGCAACCUACCCUUAAGACUGGGAUAACCGCGGGAAACCGUGGCUAAUACCGGAUAAUACUUUUAUACAACGGUAUAGAAGUUGAAAGGUGGAUUUCUAUCACUUAAGGAUGGGCCUGCGGCGCAUUAGCUGGUUGGUAAGGUAACGGCUUACCAAGGCGACGAUGCGUAGCCGACCUGAGAGGGUGAUCGGCCACACUGGAACUGAGACACGGUCCAGACUCCUACGGGAGGCAGCAGUAGGGAAUCUUCCGAAAUGGGCGAAAGCCUGACGGAGCAACGCCGCGUGUGCGAAGAAGGUCUUCGGAUCGUAAAGCACUGUUGUUAAGGAAGAACGACAGUAAGAGUAACUGUUUACUGUGUGACGGUACUUAACCAGAAAGCCACGGCUAACUACGUG